AUUGAACGCUGGCGGCAGGCCUAACACAUGCAAGUCGAGCGGAUGAAGGGAGCUUGCUCCUGGAUUCAGCGGCGGACGGGUGAGUAAUGCCUAGGAAUCUGCCUGGUAGUGGGGGAUAACGUCCGGAAACGGGCGCUAAUACCGCAUACGUCCUGAGGGAGAAAGUGGGGGAUCUUCGGACCUCACGCUACCAGAUGAGCCUAGGUCGGAUUAGCUAGUUGGUGGGGUAAAGGCCUACCAAGGCGACGAUCCGUAACUGGUCUGAGAGGAUGAUCAGUCACACUGGAACUGAGACACGGUCCAGACUCCUACGGGAGGCAGCAGUGGGGAAUAUUGGACAAAGGGCGAAAGCCUGAUCCAGCCAUGCCGCGUGUGUGAAGAAGGUCUUCGGAUUGUAAAGCACUUUAAGUUGGGAGGAAGGGCAGUAAGUUAAUACCUUGCUGUUUUGACGUUACCAACAGAAUAAGCACCGGCUAACUUCGUG
rnacentral:rRNA from 1 species